rnacentral:rRNA from 1 species
AUUGAACGCUGGCGGCAGGCCUAACACAUGCAAGUCGAACGAGUGGCGGACGGGUGAGUAAUGUCUGGGAAAAUGCCUGAUGGAGGGGGCUAACUACUGGAAACGGUAGCUAAUACCGCAUACCAUAAGAUGUUCCCAGAUGGGAUUAGCUUGUUGGUGGGGUAACGGCUGACCAAGGCGAAGAUCACGAGCUGGUCUGGGAGGAUGACGAGCCCGACUGGAACGGAGACACGGUCCAGUCUCCGACGGGAGGCAGCAGUGGGGAAGAUUGCACAAUGGGCGCAAGCCUGAUGCAGCAAUGCCGCGUGUAUGAAGAAGGCCUUCGGGUUGUAAAGUACUUUCAGCGGGGAGGCGUUACCCGCAGAAGAAGCAACGGCUAACUCCGUGCCAGCAGCCGCGGUAAUAC